rnacentral:rRNA from 1 species
AUUGAACGCUGGCGGAAUGCUUUACACAUGCAAGUCGAACGGCAGCACGGGGGCAGCCCUGGUGGCGAGUGGCGAACGGGUGAGUAAUACAUCGGAACGUGCCCGGUCGUGGGGGAUAAAGUAGCGAAAGGUACGCUAAUACAGCAUACGAUCUGAGGAUGAAAGCGGGGGACCUUUGGGCAUAGCGCGAUUGGAGCGGCCGAUGUCAGAUUAGGUAGUUGGUGGGGUAAAGGCCUACCAAGCCGACGAUCUGUAGCUGGUCUGAGAGGACGACCAGCCACACUGGGACUGAGACACGGCCCAGACUCCUACGGGAGGCAGCAGUGGGGAAUUUUGGACAAUGGGCGCAAGCCUGAUCCAGCCAUUCCGCGUGCAGGACGAAGGCCUUCGGGUUGUAAACUGCUUUUGUACGGAACGAAAAGGCUCUGGCUAAUACCUGGGGCUCAUGACGGUACCGUAAGAAUAAGCACCGGCUAACUACGUG